rnacentral:piRNA from 1 species
UGGAAGUGAUCUCUCCACACCCUCUUGGUC